CCUACGGGUGGCAGCAGUGGGGAAUAUUGCACAAUGGGGGAAACCCUGAUGCAGCGACGCCGCGUGAAGGAAGAAGUAUUUCGGUAUGUAAACUUCUAUCAGCAGGGAAGAAAAUGACGGUACCUGACGAAGAAGCCCCGUCUAACUACGGGCCAGCAGCCGCGGUAAUACGUAGGGGGCAAGCGUUAUCCGGAUUUACUGGGUGUAAAGGGAGCGUAGGCGGUUUAGCAAGUCAGAAGUGAAAGCCCGGGGCUCAACUCCGGGACUGCUUUUGAAACUGUUGAACUAGAGUGCAGGAGAGGUAAGUGGAAUUCGUAGUGUAGCGGUGAAAUGCGUAGAUAUUAGGAGGAACACCAGUGGCGAAGGCGGCUUACUGGACUGUAAAUGACGCUGAGGCUCGAAAGCGUGGGGAGCAAACAGGAUUAGAUACCCCGGUAGUC
rnacentral:rRNA from 1 species